rnacentral:rRNA from 1 species
CGCAAGCCUGACGGAGCAAGACCGCGUGCGGGAUGACGGCCUAAUGGUUGUAAACCGCUUUUCUCUGGGAAGAUGAUGACGGUACCAGAGGAAUCAGCCUCGGCUAACUCCGUGCCAGCAGCCGCGGUAAUACGGAGGAGGCAAGCGUUAUCCGGAAUUAUUGGGCGUAAGGCGUCCGUAGGUGGUUAUUCAAGUCUGCUGUCAAAGCGUGGGGCUUAACUCCAUAGAGGCAGUGGAAACUGGAUGACUUGAGUGCGGUAGGGGUCGAGGGAAUUCCCAGUGUAGCGGUGAAAUGCGUAGAUAUUGGGAAGAACACCAGUGGCGAAAGCGCUCGACUGGGCCUGCACUGACACUGAGGGACGAAAGCUAGGGGAGCG